rnacentral:rRNA from 1 species
GGGCACCUACGGGGCGCAGCAGUAGGGAAUCUUCCACAAUGGACGAAAGUCUGAUGGAGCAACGCCGCGUGAGUGAAGAAGGGUUUCGGCUCGUAAAGCUCUGUUGGUAGUGAAGAAAGAUAGAGGUAGUAACUGGCCUUUAUUUGACGGUAAUUACUUAGAAAGUCACGGCUAACUACGUGCCAGCAGCCGCGGUAAUACGUAGGUGGCAAGCGUUGUCCGGGUUUAUUGGGCGUAAAGCGAGUGCAGGCGGUUUAAAUA